AACGAACGCUGGCGGCAGGCCUAACACAUGCAAGUCGAGCGGACCCUUCGGGGUUAGCGGCGGACGUGUGAGUAACGCGUGGGAAUAUGCCCUUCUCUACGGAAUAGUCCUGGGAAACUGGGGGUAAUACCGUAUACGCCCUUUGGGGGAAAGAUUUAUCGGGGAAGGAUUAGCCCGCGUUGGAUUAGGUAGUUGGUGGGGUAAUGGCCUACCAAGCCGACGAUCCAUAGCUGGUUUGAGAGGAUGAUCAGCCACACUGGGACUGAGACACGGCCCAGACUCCUACGGGAGGCAGCAGUGGGGAAUCUUAGACAAUGGGGGCAACCCUGAUCUAGCCAUGCCGCGUGAGUGAUGAAGGCCUUAGGGUUGUAAAGCUCUUUCAGCUGGGAAGAUAAUGACGGUACCAGCAGAAGAAGCCCCGGCUAACUCCGUG
rnacentral:rRNA from 1 species